rnacentral:rRNA from 1 species
GUGAGGAAUAUUGGUCAAUGGGCGGGAGCCUGAACCAGCCAAGUCGCGUGAAGGAAGAAGGAUCUAUGGUUCGUAAACUUCUUUUGCAGGGGAAUAAAGUGCGGGACGUGUCCUGUUUUGUAUGUACCCUGAGAAUAAGGAUCGGCUAACUCCGUGCCAGCAGCCGCGGUAAUACGGAGGAUCCGAGCGUUAUCCGGAUUUAUUGGGUUUAAAGGGUGCGUAGGUGGUUUGUUAAGUCAGCGGUGAAAGUUUGCAGCUUAACUGUAAAAAUGCCGUUGAAACUGUCGGACUUGAGUGUAAAUGAGGUAGGCGGAAUGCGUGGUGUAGCGGUGAAAUGCAUAGAUAUCACGCAGAACUCCGAUUGCGAAGGCAGCUUACUAAGCUACAACUGACACUGAAGCACGAAAGCGUGGGGAUCAAACAGGAUUAGAAACCCGGGUAGUCC